GGGGAUAUAGCUCAGUUGAUAAGAGUGCUUGCCUCACAUGCAGGAGGCCCUGGGUCCAAGCCCCAGCACCA
rnacentral:tRNA from 1 species